UGUCCCCUCCUGAAGCCUAGAUCCACCGCCGCCGCAUGGAUCUUGGCCUCCUUCAACCACCACCGAAGAAUCCGCCGCUGCCACCCCUUAUCCUCCCCUUGGCUCUUCCCCUAUAAAGCCCGACGACCGGCCACAUUGUGCUAUUUUUCUGAGCCGCCGCUGCCUGUGCUUCCCCUCCCGCUAACCCUAUAUCCUGGUCGCCCUUUGCCUCCGCAAGCCAUCGCUGCCACUUUUCCCAACCGGAGCUCAAGCCGAAGACCGUCGCCGCCUUCCUCGUUGCGAACACCAAUCCUUCACGCGAUCUGGGCACGUGAGCGGCAGGAGGCAAUGACGACAGCGGAGGAGGUGAUCGCGGGGAAGGAGCCGCUGGAUCUGAUAUGUCUCAGCCUUGACAAGCGCAUCUACGUCAAGCUCCGAUCCAACCGUGUGCUCCACGGCAAGCUCCAUUCUCUACUGCAUCGUAUCUUCACGCAAAGUGUUCCGCUCUCCCGCCCGCCCACGCGCCAACCCCGCAUUCCGCUCCCGUCCCUUUUCCGCUCCCCCUGAGUGGAUGGUUGUAGUGCUGGUGAUGACAUCUCAUAUGCAUACUUGGUCGGUUCUGAACAAUCUCGGUGAGAUCUUUGAUUCAGGACAUCAGAGAUGUCAGAUUCCAUAAGGUUGAGACUGGAUUAGAGACAAUAUCUGGACGUACUCAUGCUGUAAAGGUAUCUUUUCUCUCAGGACUCUGGCCAACUGUCUAUCUUGGUUCCUCAUAUUCUGUAGAAGUUAUUUAUAUAGAAUUGGAUGUGAUUUACAUUUCCCUUGUAUCUGUAUUUCUACAAGUUUAACAGAUUCAUCUUUCAUUGAUCAGAGACCAACAAUACCGUAUGCCUUUUGUUUUCAUUCUCACAACUGAAAAAUCUCUCUGCAAUGGAAGUGAACAUUGUCCAUCCUUUCAUGGUGAGAACUUUGCAGGCAUUCUAUAAUCAUGAUAGUCCACAGAUGAUUCGGCAAGCCGAUAAUGCAGGAGACAUUCGGGUGUGCUGCUUCUAUUUUACUAGGUCAAAUAUAGUCAGUAAAAAGUCCUGAUUCUGCAAUGUACAUUAGAUGCAUGAUUUGAAAUAAUCAUAAAGAAAUGCUUCAUUUCAGAUUCCUAUUAAUUUUAAAGUAGAUCUAAAUUGAGAAUUACUUUUUCAUUCAUGAGAAGUAUUUGCUUUACAAUUUACUUUGGUCAGCAGCAAAACAACGUCUUAUAUAAUCUAUGUUGGUGCUUGAGUUGACUAUAUGGUGUUUUUCUCUCUCAUUAAACC